CCUACGGGUGACAGCAGUGAGGAAUAUUGGUCAAUGGACGAGAGUCUGAACCAGCCAAGUAGCGUGAAGGAUGACUGCCCUAUGGGUUGUAAACUUCUUUUAUAUGGGAAUAAAAUGUUCCACGUGUGGGAUUUUGUAUGUACCAUAUGAAUAAGGAUCGGCUAACUCCGUGCCAGCAGCCGCGGUAAUACGGAGGAUCCGAGCGUUAUCCGGAUUUAUUGGGUUUAAAGGGUGCGUAGGUGGAUUGUUAAGUCAGUUGUGAAAGUUUGCGGCUCAACCGUAAAAUUGCAGUUGAAACUGGCAGUCUUGAGUACAGUAGAGGUAUGCGGAAUUCGUGGUGUAGCGGUGAAAUGCUUAGAUAUCGCGAAGAACUCCGAUUGCGAAGGCAGUUCACUGGACUGCAACUGACACUGAGGCUCGAAAGUGUGGGUAUCAAACAGGAUUAGAUACCCGGGUAGUC
rnacentral:rRNA from 1 species